rnacentral:rRNA from 1 species
UACGAAGGGGGCUAGCGUUGUUCGGAAUCACUGGGCGUAAAGCGCACGUAGGCGGAUCUUUAAGUCAGGGGUGAAAUCCCGAGGCUCAACCUCGGAACUGCCUUUGAUACUGGGGAUCUCGAGUCCGGGAGAGGUGAGUGGAAUUGCGAGUGUAGAGGUGAAAUUCGUAGAUAUUCGCAAGAACACCAGUGGCGAAGGCGGCUCACUGGCCCGGUACUGACGCUGAGGUGCGAAAGCGUGGGGAGCAAACAGGG